rnacentral:rRNA from 2 species
CUGCGAAAGGAUCAUUA